GUAGUUAUAGUAUAAUGGUUAUUACAUAAGUAUGUGGUUCUUAAAAUAUUGGUUCAAUUCCAAUUUAUUACC